AGAAGACGAAGAAUGGAAGUAAUGACUAUGACCUUGGUCACCAAAGCUCUGUCCAGUUCCAGGCGGCGAGAUCAGACGACACCGGAGAGGUCGUUGUUGUGGCCUUGUACGUAACUGAAGACCAGCUCAGAGUGACACUGGUUCAGCUACAGUGUACGACAGGAGGCACCAACUUCACAGUUGUAGGGGCCGUACCGGCAAACACCAUCAUAUACCAUUUCAUAUUGGGAAGCCAAUGCGCAUGCCCAGGAGCAGGACCAAACUGUGCCGGUAGCAGCCUGAGCAUCGGGAGUUUGAUUUGCAUAUCGGUUGUGACUGCCUUUGCUGUGUACUUCAUAUUCGGUUCCAUCCUUAAAGCGGCGGUGAAAAGGAAAGUAGGUUGGGAGGCCAUUCCUAACGAUGACUUUUGGAAAAGCCUACCAGGCUAUAUCAAGGGCGGAUGCAUCUACACAACAUCACAUUGUCGUCGAUUGGUAAACCGCAACCCCGAUUACAGUACAUUAUAGCACCGACUACAUUCCUCUUGUUUAGUUCACAACCUUUGUGAUUUAAAUUUUGUAUGAACUAUCAAUGAACUAAAUGAAAUCCCAA